rnacentral:rRNA from 1 species
UACAGAGAGUGCAAACGUUGUUCGGAAUUACUGGGCUUGAAGCGCACGUAGGCGGCGUUGUAAGUGUCGGGUGAAAUCCCACGGCUCACCCGUGGAACUGCCCGGCAUACUGCGAUGCUAGAGUGUGGUAGGGGAGAGCGGAACUCCUGGUGGAGCGGUGAAAUGCGUAGAUAUCAGGAGGAACACCGGUGGCGAAGGCGGCUCUCUGGUCCACAACUGACGCUGAGUUGCGAAAGCUAGGGGAGCAAACGGG